UACGGAGGGUGCGAGCGUUAAUCGGAAUUACUGGGCGUAAAGCGCGCGUAGGCGGCUUGAUAAGCCGGUUGUGAAAGCCCCGGGCUCAACCUGGGAACCGCAUCCGGAACUGUCAGGCUAGAGUAUGGGAGAGGAUGGUAGAAUUCCAGGUGUAGCGGUGAAAUGCGUAGAGAUCUGGAGGAAUACCGAUGGCGAAGGCGACCACCUGGACUGAUACUGACACUGAGGUGCGAAAGCGUGGGGAGCAAACACG
rnacentral:misc_RNA from 1 species